rnacentral:rRNA from 1 species
CCUACGGGGGGCUGCAGUCGAGAAUCUUUCACAAUGGGGGCAACCCUGAUGGAGCGACGCCGCGUGGAGGAUAAGGUCUUCGGAUUGUAAACUCCUGUCAUGCGAGAACAAGGUUGCAGGGCUAACACCUUUGCAAAUUGAUGGUACCGCAAGAGGAAGAGACGGCUAACUCUGUGCCAGCAGCCGCGGUAAUACAGAGGUCUCAAGCGUUGGUCGGAAGGGCUGGUAGGUAAGGUGGCGUGGCAGAUGUGAAAGCCCGGGGCUCAACCUCGGAAUUGCAUCCGAUACUGCCAUGCUGGAGUACGGAAGAGGUGACUAGAAUUCUAGGUGUAGCAGUGAAAUGCGUAGAUAUCUAGAGGAAUACCAACGGCGAAGGCAGGUCACUGGGCAGUUACUGACACUGAGGCACGAAGGCCAGGGGAGCAAACGGGAUUAGAUACCCGUGUAGUC